AUGCCUAAUUUGGGCCUAAAGGCCAGUCUGAAUAGGAAAUGCAGCAGGCAAGGGAACAGGACCAGCACAACUCCCCUUCGGUCUCCGCUGACUCAGUCUGCCCAGAAGGCUUUUUUUUUUUUUUUUUUUUUUCUUUUUAUUCUCUUCUUGCAGCUGUUGUGGAGUUAUUCCUUCCUUUUUGAGGCAUUCCUAGAUUUGCAAUAUAUAUAUUUUUCCUACCAGAUGGUGUCUUCUUUGUUUUAUGUAUGUAUCUCUCUAACUUUAGUUCCUGAAUUAGAGCUUUGUCUCAGGACCCAGGUCUGCAUGUUAAGCCUAGUCUUACAAGGGUUACUCUCACCCUAGGUCAUGGGGGUACCCGGACUGACCUUCCAUCCAAAAUAGCUGAGGAUCUUUGGGGUUUUGACUGCUGGAUAUUCAGGACACCCUACCAUACCUCAAAACAGGAUACCUUAGACAUCUGGGAUGUCCCAGUCUGACUGGAGUCAUAUGUGUCCUGGUCACUGCUGCUCCCAAAUAUCUGGUUGGGGGUUACAACCAACAUAGGAUUAUUUUUUCCUGCAGAGUGACACACUUACAAACCCUACUCUGGUCUUACUGACCCUACUUUGGCCAUGUUGGGAAGCUACUUGUUCUGGGAUGGAAGAAAUUACUGUAUUUUACCAUUGGAUUUCUUCAUCAUUCAGUAUAGGAUUUUUGCUGGAUAAGGGUGGACUGAACUAGGCAAGGUGCCUCGAUUCUGGAAGACACCUACUAUUACUCUCCACACUGCUAGUACCGGUCUACAUAAUUUAAUUCAGUUCAAAUUUAUUAAACCUCUCCUACAUGUCAAACACUGUGCUUUGGUGCUGGGGAAAGCAGCCAAAAAUGAAGGGAUGCUGAUUUCAAGAGCUGAAGGGGAGGGUACUUCAAGCAUGGGAGAAGAGUGAAAAAGCAUGGAAGAGUAGAUGCAAGGUCAGUAAGUAAGUAGCUAGAUUUGGCAGGAACUACAAUACUAAAGGGAGUGAUGGAAAAUCAGCCUGGAAAGAUAGGUUCUUUGAUAAGAAAAGCCCUUGUUCUUUUCAUAUCAAAGCACAGUCCAUGCUGGAAAACUAGGUCUGCUAAGCUUUUGAGUUUCCACAGCACCUCUGGCUCUCCAUGAUGUCUGAAUUAUUGGAAUCCAUCCAGUAUUGGAUAAAUAGUAGAUCCUAGGCUCAGUACAAAACAAAGUGAAUUAAAAAAAAAUAAUAAAACCCUGGACAAAUUUUACCCUUUAAUUUCCUUACCUGGGGAUGAUGAUAAUACUUGUACUCUACCUCCUAGGGCUAUAGUGGAGAAAGUGUUUUAUAAAUAUAAAUAUGCUAUACAAAUGCGAAUAGUAGGGGUUGAGUUCCUUGAGGGCAGAAG
rnacentral:lncRNA from 1 species